rnacentral:rRNA from 1 species
CAAUAAGCGGAGGAAAAGAAACCAACAGGGAUUGCCCUAGUAACGGCGAGUGAAGCGGCAACAGCUCAAAUUUGAAAUCUGGCUACUUCGUAGUCCGAGUUGUAAUUUGUAGAGGAUGCUUUUGGUGAAGUGCUUUCUGAGUUCCCUGGAACGGGACGCCAGAGAGGGUGAGAGCCCCGUACAGUUAGCAACUGAUCCUUUGUAUAGCUCCUUCGACGAGUCGAGUAGUUUGGGAAUGCUGCUCUAAAUGGGAGGUAUAUCUCUUCUAAAGCUAAAUAUAGGCUAGAGACCGAUAGCGCACAAGUAGAGUGAUCGAAAGAUGAAAAGCACUUUGAAAAGAGAGUUAAACAGCACGUGAAAUUGUUGAAAGGGAAGCGCCUAUGACCAGACUUGUCUCUAUCAGUUUUGGUAGUUUUCGGACUGCUUUACUCUGUUAGUACAGGCCAACAUCAGUUUGUUGUCGGGGAGAAAGGCUUAGGGAAUGUGGCUCCUUCGGGAGUGUUAUAGCCCUUUGCAUAAUACCCUUCGGCAGACUGAGG